rnacentral:rRNA from 1 species
CCUACGGGAGACAGCAGUGGGGGAUAUUGGACAAUGGGGGGAACCCUGAUCCAGCGACGCCGCGUGAGUGAAGAAGUAUUUCGGUAUGUAAAGCUCUGUCAGCAGGGAAGAAAGAAAUGACGGUACCUGACCAAGAAGCCCCGGCUAACUACGUGCCAGCAGCCGCGGUAAUACGUAGGGGGCAAGCGUUAUCCGGAAUUACUGGGUGUAAAGGGAGCGUAGACGGUUAAGUAAGUCUGGAGUGAAAGGCCGGGGCCCAACCCCGGGACUGCUCUGGAAACUAUUGAACUUGAGUGCAGGGGAGGUAAGCGGAAUUCCUAGGGUAGCGGUGAAAUGCGUAGAUAUUAGGAGGAACACCAGUGGCGAAGGCGGCUUACUGGACUGUAACUGACGUUGAGGCUCGAAAGCGUGGGGAGCAAACAGGAUUAGAUACCCCGGUAGUC